CAGAGCACGCGCCGAGCACCCUAGUUUGCUAGGGAGAUGGCAACAAAGCGCCACAGACUGGGUGACUUCAACAACAGAAAUACCCUUCCCCAUCUGGAGGCCGGGAGUGGGGGAUGGGGUGCACUGCUGCCACCCAGCAGCCCCGCGAGAGGCCCCAGGAGCUUCUCCCUCCCAGCCCUCAAAGCGCCACCAGACCUAGCUGCUGGGGAUCAGAAACAUCCGUGACAGUAGGUGUAUUCUGAAACAUUCUACCUUCGUGGAGCACAGCCCCUUAGGAUCCUGACCCCCUUCUGUGGCUGAACGUGCUGUCAUUGUGUACGGGAUCCAGGAACAUGCUGACGGAGUGGGAGUGCCAAGGGACACCCGGAAAGACGUCCCUGGAGGCCAGUGGUCACCUCAGGGCUGAGUGGAAGGGGUGGGGAGGGGGGCUCCAGCUGUGUGGGGCUGCUGUCUGUGGCUGAGCCUCCAGGUGCCACGCAGCACAGCAGCUUGCAGCGACACACCUUCCUUAUCCCACUUCCACAGGACCAGGGUCUGUGGACAGGCGGAUCACCUUGACUGAUUUCCGAAUAUUGAAGCAGCCUGACGUUCCAUGGAUAAACUCCGUUUGGUUCCGUGUAUUAUUGUUUUUAAGGCUACGUGGCCGCAUCCGCCUUUCUAGUGUCUCCCCAGGACAGCUGUCGCCCUGUUGGUGAGGACAGAGGCUGCGGGUUUCUUCUCGUCUUCACCUGACUCAGGUGUGAGUCUGGCCCGGGCUGCGCACAGUGAAUGGAGCGAAUGCCCACUGGCCUGUUUUUUGGAAGAGAUCGUGGAGACGGGUGCUUUUUCUUCUUUAAACAUUUGAACAUUUGGUGGAAUCCACCAGAGAAACCAUCCAAAACAGGGGAUUUUUUUUUUUUUUUGAAGAAUUUCAUGUCCUUAGUAGAUGCAGGAUUGUUCUGGUUAUUUAUUUCUUCUCGAGUCUAUUUUGGUGGUUUGUGGUUUUUAAGGACUUGCUCUAGGCCAUCCAAGUCAAGGGUCGUUGAAUUUCCUCUGUGAUGGGACAGAUAGACGAUAUUCCAGUCUUCAAGGGCGGGCAGGCUCCGCUGCUAUUAACCAUCACUGCAGCCUGAAAACGGCCACAGACGAUGCAAAGUGAAGGGGCAGAUCCGAGCUUCCCGGGAUUUAUCUGCCAUAACAAAUCCUUGCUAAUCGGGACGUCUGAAACAACAGGAAUGUAUUCUCUCACGGCUCAGGAGGCCCGAAGUCUGGAAUCAAAGUGUCAUCGGGGGCCACGCUCCCUCUGAAGGCUCCGAGAAGAAUCCUCCCUGGCCUCUUGCACCCGGGGCCUCCUUGGGCUCCUGGAAACACGACAUCUUCAGCCUCCGUCCCUGGGGGUCUCUCUGUAGGCCUCUAUCCAAAUCUUCAUCUCCUUUAAAAAUCUAUAUUUUUAGUUGUAGAUGGACACAAUACCUUUAUUUUAUUUGCUGAUUUCUCUGUGGGGCUGAGGAUGGAACCCAGGGCCUCACACAGGCCAGGCAAGCGCUCUGCCACUGAGCCCAACGCCCGUCCCUCCGUCUCCUCUUUCUAUAAAGAAGUUCAAUGACCCUUGACUUAGAUGGCCUAAGUCAUGUUCAGCUUAGGGUCCAUCCUGAUAGAAUCUGAUCUCAUCUUAACCAAUUACAGUUGCAAAAUUGUAAUUUCCAAACAAGAUCAUAUUCUGAGGUUCUCCAUGGACAUGGACUUUGAGGGGAUGCUAUUCAACUUAGUCCAUCUGUGUUCCAGUAACUAAUUUUUAAAAAUAAUAGUGAAUCAGAUUUGGCCUAUGGGCCAUAAUCGGCUGAUCCAAGAUCUAAAUGGUCAGAUUUAUGGAUGCGGUGCUGUUGCAAUAUCUCAUUAUGAUUUUAAUGUUUGCCUGUGGGGUCUGUAGUGAUAUUCCCUUUUUCAUUCCUAAUAUUGGUCAUUUGUGCCUUUCUUCUUUGUCAAUCUAGAUAUCGGUUUGUCAAUUUUGUUGAUCUUUUCAUGGAGCAUUUUUGAGCUUAAUUAAUUCUUCUCGAUUGCUUUUCUGUUGUCAAUUUCAUUGAUUUCAUCUCUGACUUUCUACUAGUUUCUUUUCUUUUUCUCUUUAUUUUUUAUGCCAAGAAUUAAAUCCAGUGGUGCUUCACCAUGAAGCCACAUCCCCAGCUCUUUUUCAUAUUUUAUUUAGAGACAGGGUCUUGCUAAAUUGCUUAGGACCUCACUAAAUUGCUGAGGCUGCCUUUGAACUUGUGAUCCUCCUGUCUCAGCCUCCCAAGCCGCUGGGAUUACAGGCGUGUACUACCAUGCCUGGCUCUACUAGUUUCUUAAUAAGUAAGUUUAGAUUGUUGGUUUGAGAACUUUCUUUUUUUAUUAGUAUAAUAAUUUUAGAAAUUUCCCCUCUCAUCAUUGCUUGAACUGUAUACCACAAAAUUUCAUUUUUCUCUUUAAAAUUUCCUUUCUGACCUAUGGAUCACUUAAAAGUUUGUUGUUUAACUUCCAAGUAUUCUGGAGAUUUUUUUCAGUUAUUGAUUUUUCAUUUAAUUCAUUAUGAUCAGAAAACAUACUUUGAAUUUAAAUUCUUUUAAAUUUGUUAGCAUAAUGCUCGAUUUUUGGUACUAGCCCUUAGAUUUCUAAACCCCUAUUUUAAAAAAUGUUUUCUCUGUUAUUCAAAGUAACUAUUGAUCACCCAAGCUUAUUGACUCUUUAUCAUUUCCACUUCACUAUUGAGCAGAAGUUUUCUUUCACUCCUUACAUUUUUCAGUUCUCAAAUUUCUGUUCGGUUCUCUCUUGUAUCUUCCAUUUCUUUGCUAAGACUUUCUUUUUUUUUUUUUUUUGCUGAGACUUUCCAUAUUUUCGUGGUUAUCAUAACUGCUUUCCCCAACACCUGUGCCGUCUUGGAUUGGCAUUUGUUGACUUUCUUUCUUUUCAUUUUAAGAUUCCUGGUUCUUCACAUGUCAAGCAAUCUUGGAUUUUAUCUAGGACAUUUUAAACUUUAUGUUAAGUGAUUGUGGUUCAUCCCCAGCCCUUUUUUGUUUUUGUUUUUGUUUUUUUGUAUUUUAUUUAAAGACAGGUUCUUGCUGAGCUGCUUAGGGCCUCACUAAGUUGCUGAGGCUGGCUUUGAACUUGAGAUCCUCCUGCCUCAGCCUCCUGAGCCACUGGGAUUAGGCCUGGACCACCUCAACCAGAUGUGGGUCUUAUUUCAAUCCUGAUAAGUAUAUUGGGUUAUUUCUGUCAGCAGGCAUUCAACCUAUUUAGGCCUAGGCUGCAAGCUCUGACCGGCCACAUGGGCUGUUUCCAGUGUCCUUUAGCUUCCGGUGUUUACAGCGCUCCAAGAGUCAGUCCAUCUGUACCACACUUAGAGGCCAGUCUCGGCCUGGAGAGGAUCUGCUCUGGAGCUCAGUUCUUAAGUCCUGAGAUAAGCUGCUUAGGAUCAUAUCCAGGACACAGCUCAGAGGUGGAGCUUAGAACUCACUUACAUCUUUAUGAGAUUACUCUCUGGAGCGCCUCUCUUCCAUGAUCCACCACACACCCUAGAGAUCCCUGGAGCCUCUUUCCCAGUAUUCCAGCCGGAAAUCUAGGAAUUCCAUGUGCUCACUGUGCUGCAGUACAUGGGUCAAGAGAUGGAAAGAGGAAGGAAGGAAGGAAGGAAGGAAGGAAGGAAGGAAGGAAGGAAGGAAGGAAAGAAGGCAGGAAGGAAGGGAGAAAUAACCACUGGGGGUUCGCUCUGUGUUCCUGGGAUCACAGCGGCUCUGAUCAUGGUGAGAGCGUCCCUCCCUUGGAGGCUCAGACACCUGCCCAGCCUCCUAGAUCUGCCACCCUGUGCGGCCAUCACCGGGGCUACCACGUGUUUUCUGAGAAACAAAAACAAGAAGGGGUUUCUCCCACUCCCGCAGGCCCCCCUCCUGGGACCAGAAACAGAGAGCGUCUUCCGGAGCCUUCUGUGUGCACUCGCAGGCUGCAGCCGCCUGGAGUCCAGGGCAACCCAAGAGGGUGAAGCUCCCCGUCUUCCUGAAUGGUCUUUUUCAGGGUCCUCUGAUACACACCCCACAACUCGGGAUUCAUGGUGGCACAGGGUGUGACAGAACCAGAACCCAAACCCUUAUAAAAGAGGAAAAUCCAACUGAGAUUCCAUCACAGGGAACCCCACGGCCAUGGGGCCACCUUGCUGGCCCACACCUCAGGAGGACAUGGCCUGUCAAGUCAUCCAGGGACCCCCCAAGGCCCGGCUCUUGGGACACACCCUGAGGCCGACCCCCUGCCCCCUCCCUCUCCCCCCUCUGGGUAUUCAAAGGGAAGGUCUCCCCUCCCCUAGGCACCUGCCUCCUUCCAACAGAGUCCUUGAGACCAAGCCUUCUCUGUGGUGUCUCGCGCCUCCCCCUGGUGGCUGGGAGGGCCAGCGCAGCUGGAUGGUGCAAGACAACACCUUGGGGGGCUCCUGUCCCUGGGAGGGAUGGGGACCAGGCUCAAUUCGCACAGAGCCUGCAGGACUUUCCACCCUGCCAUGUUUUUUUUUUGUGUGUGUGUGUGUGUGUGUGUGUCUGUCUCUUCUUAUCAAACCCAGACUUUACACAUGCUAGGCAAAGGGCUCUACCACCAAGCUACACCCCCAACCCCACUUUGUCGUAUUUUAAUUCUUGUUUGUCUGUCUCAACAGCUGGGGGGCUUCCUCAAAGAGCCUUGUUCCUUGAGUUGCUCCGGAGUCCAGCACCGUGCCUGUGUGUCAUCAAGGGAGGCUGAACAGACAGGAUCUAGUCCUUUCCCCGGCCCCUCCUGCCCCACUCCUGUUUUCUUGCUCCUCGAGGGGUUAAGUUACCAUUUUUUGUCUCUAUAUGACAGACAGAGUUAAUCUCCUCCAGUCCGUCAGUGGGGGAGGUAGUGUCAUUUCCUUUUUAAUUAAAACACCAAGGUUAAAGAACCCAAGUCACAUAGUUAAUAAAGUGGGAGCCAGGAUUUGAACUCUGGGCUGUUGGUCGCAGUUGUCCAUCAUUCCUUGGUCUCUCCUCACUUCUCCAAUCUCAGUGCCACCCCUGAGGCAGAGACUGUUAAUUAUGCCUUCAAAUCCAUUUUUCAUAUUGACAGUUUUUGCCUUCGUCUGGGGUCAUCUAAAAAUAAAGACUAAAAUAUUAGUCUCUUCUAGCUAUAUGUGACAACGAUGUAAGUAAAAUCAAUAUGUGCGACUUCUGUGGAGGAGCCCUAAAGGGACGAGGUGCUGCCACUCAUGUUGGAGUCCAAGCAACCGUCUUGGGCCAACGCAGAAGCCACAUGUGGGGGACGGCAAAGCUAUAAGUCGGAGGGGGCCUAGAUAUCAACCCUGGACCGGCACCGCAGACAGACCUUAUCGAUGUGAAAGAGAUCAAUGCUCAUCUGAUUAAGGCAGUUGUUUGGGGUUUUCAGUCCAUCUGAGCAUACCACCCCUUAUCUGGGUGACCACAAGAGCCUUCAAAGAGUGUCCCUGCUUCUUCCAUCCCAACCAGAUGUCACCUCAUCUUUAAACAGUACGUUUUUCUUGUUUUUUUCCCCAACUCAUGUUAUGCCAGAUUCCUUGGACCUCAAUAGACCUCCAGGAGCCGAAUCCGAUGCAAUCACACAAGUUUUUAUUGCAAACUGGAGCCUGGACUCACAACCAUUCCCGACGCAGCGGUCCCAGGGAGUUUCUGACGGGAAGAGUGUGGAGGAUCACGCACAUGGAAUUAUAGGAAGUCAGAAAAUCAGUGUCCAUUGCUUCCCUCCAUAUUGGGACCAGAACCCAGUCACUGGCUGAGUGAACCGCAAGGGAAUCUGGGAAAUGUAGUCUUUAUUGCGUUUGCCCAGGAGAAGUGCCAUCGCUCUGUUGAGGACUUGGCAUAGUCUCUACCACGCAUGCCUGACUCUUGCUCUGAGUCUCUGCCUAUACUCUUUCUCCACCUUUUGGAAUACCCUGCCUCAUCCUCCCCGUUCCUGGAGGACACACUCAAUCUUGGUCUUUCCUUUGAAGCCCUUCCUGAUGGCUCUGUCCCCCCAGUGAAUAAGCCAUGGAAUUGCCUGGAACAAGCCAUCUGCCACAGGGUUCCAGCCUCGAUUUCUUUAUUUAGUGUUUGCAUCUGAAGCUCAGCUGCAGGACACUCUGAGACGUCAAAGACCGUGGCUUCUACACAUGUGCCCCAAAAUGCACUUGUUGCAAGUGAACAGCAUCAGAAACGAGACACGACAGGGCAAUGAGAACAUGACACCAUGCUGCAACGUUGUCCCCAAAGAGGAGAACUUGAAACUGAUCAGGAGGAAGCACUCCACAGAUCCAAACUGAAGACCGUCUACGAAGUAACUCGCUCGUAAUCUUGAAACAUGGUGAAGUCACCAAAGUCAAGGAGAGACCUGUUUCCUAGAGGAGGAAACUGAAGAGAGGUGACAACUGAAGGCCACGUGCGAUUCCAGGCCGAGUCGUCUGCUAGAAAAGACGUGACAGGAGCAAUCGCCAGAACUUGAAUGGGGUCUCUGAUCUGAGGGCAGCGGUGCAGGACACUACCCUUGUGUGCAGGAAAUGCACGCUCAAGGACUCGGGGUCACAGGGCAUUCAUUCAAUUUUCAACUUUUUUUGAAUGGUCCAGAAAAUACAAGUUCUUGGUACCAUG